rnacentral:tRNA from 1 species
GCGGGGUAGCUCAGCUGGUUAGAGCGCACGACUCAUAAUCGUGAGGUCGCGGGUUCGAGCCCCGCCCCCG